rnacentral:rRNA from 1 species
GAUGAACGCUAGCGGCAGGCUUAACACAUGCAAGUCGAGGGGUAGAGGCUUUCGGGCCUUGAGACCGGCGCACGGGUGCGUAACGCGUAUGCAAUCUGCCUUGUACUGGGGGAUAGCCCAGAGAAAUUUGGAUUAAUACCCCAUAGUAUUUUCGGUUGGCAUCAACUGAUUAUUAAAGUUUUUCGGUACAAGAUGAGCAUGCGUCCCAUUAGCUAGUUGGUAUGGUAACGGCAUACCAAGGCUACGAUGGGUAGGGGUCCUGAGAGGGGGAUCCCCCACACGGGUACUGAGACACGGACCAGACUCCUACGGGAGGCAGCAGUGAGGAAUAUUGGUCAAUGGUCGCAAGACUGAACCAGCCAUGCCGCGUGCAGGAUGAAGCAUCUAUGGUGUGUAAACUGCUUUUGUACGGGAAGAAACACUGCUACGUGUAGCAGCUUGACGGUACCGUAAGAAUAAGGAUCGGCUAACUCCGUGCCAGCCGCCGCAGUAACAC